UACGUAGGGGGCAAGCGUUGUCCGGAAUCAUUGGGCGUAAAGCGCGUGUAGGCGGUUCAGUAAGUCUGCUGUGAAAGUCCAGGGCUCAACCCUGGGAUGCCGGUGGAUACUGCUGGGCUAGAGUGCGGAAGAGGCGAGUGGAAUCCCGGUGUAGCGGUGAAAUGCGCAGAUAUCGGGAGGAACACCAAUUGCGAAGGCAGCUCGCUGGGACGUCACUGACGCUGAGACGCGAAAGCGUGGGGAGCAAACAGG
rnacentral:rRNA from 1 species